GGCUCACCAAGGCGACGAUCUUGUAGCUGGUCUGAGAGGACGAUCAGCCACACUGGGACUGAGACACGGCCCAGACUCCUACGGGAGGCAGCAGUGGGGAAUAUUGGACAAUGGGCGAAAGCCUGCAUCCAGCAAUGCCGCGUGUGUGAAGAAGGCCUGCGGGUUGUAAAGCACUUUCAGUGGGGAAGAAAAGCUCGGGGCUAAUACCUCCGGGCCUUGACGUUACCCACUAGAAGAAGCACCGGCCAACUCCGUGCCAGCAGCCGCGGUAAUACGGAGGGAGCAAGCGUUAAUCGGAAUUACUGGGCGUAAAGCGCACGCAGGUGGCUAUGUAAGUCGGAUGUGAAAGCCCUGGGCUUAACCUGGGAACUGCAUUCGAAACUGCCCUGGCUAGAGUAUGGGAGAGGGAAGUGGAAUUCCCGGUGUAGCGGUGAAAUGGCGUAGAUAUCGGGAGGAACACCAGUGGCGAAGGCG
rnacentral:rRNA from 1 species